GGAUAACCUGCCCAAGGGUCCGGGAUAACCCCGGGAAACUGGGGAUAAUACCGGAUGGAUCACUAGUGCUGGAAUGCUUGGUGGUCGAAAGGUAACGCCCUUGGAUGGGUCUGCGGCGGAUUAGGUUGACGCCGGUGUAACGUACCGGCGUGCCUGUAAUCCGUACGGGUUGUGGGUGCAAGAGCCCGGAGAUGGAUUCUGAGACACGAAUCCAGGCCCUACGGGGCGCAGCAGGCGCGAAAACUCUACAAUGCAGGCAACUGCGAUAGGGGGACAUCGAGUGGCAUCCACCUUGGGUGCCUGUCCAACCGUCUAAAAAACGGUUGUUAGCAAGGGCCGGGUAAGACCGGUGCCAGCCGCCGCGGUAAUACCGGCGGCUCGAGUGGUGGCCGAUAUUAUUGAGUCUAAAGGGUCCGUAGCCGGCUUUGCAAGUCCCCUGGGAAAUCCAGCGGCUUAACCGUUGGGCUUUCAUGGGAUACUACAUUGCUUGGGACUGGGAGAGGUAGGAGGUACUCGAGGGGUAGGGGUGAAAUCCUGUAAUCCUUCGGGGACCACCGGUGGCGAAGGCGUCCUACCAGAACAGGUCCGACGGUGAGGGACGAAAGCUAGGGGCACGAACCGGAUUAGAUACCCGGGUAGUCCUAGCCGUAAACGAUGCCCGCUAGGUGUCACGACGGUCGUGAAUCGUCGUGGUGCCGUAGGGAAGCCGCGAAGCGGGCCACUUGGGAAGUACGACCGCAAGGUUGAAACUUAA
rnacentral:rRNA from 1 species